rnacentral:rRNA from 1 species
GUUGUAUAGUCAAGUAAUUAAGUGCAUGUGGUGGAUGCCUUGGCAGUCAGAGGCGAUGAAAGACGUGAUAGCCUGCGAAAAGCUCCGGGGAGGCGGCAAAUAUCCUUUGAUCCGAGAUGUCUGAAUGGGGAAACCCACCUACUUUAAGGUAGGUAUUGCAACAUGAAUACAUAGUGUUGCAAGGCGAACGAGGGGAAGUGAAACAUCUCAGUACCCUUAGGAAAAGAAAUCAAUUGAGAUUCCCUCAGUAGCGGCGAGCGAACGGGGAUCAGCCCAUUAAGUUAUGUGUGUUUUAGUGGAACGCUCUGGGAAGUGCGAACGUAGAGGGUGAUAUUCCCGUACACGAAAGGGCACACAUAAUGAUGACGAGUAGGGCGAGGCACGUGAAACCUUGUCUGAAUAUGGGGGGACCAUCCUCCAAGGCUAAAUACUCCUGACUGACCGAUAGUGAACCAGUACCGUGAGGGAAAGGCGAAAAGAACCCCUGUGAGGGGAGUGAAAUAGAUCCUGAAACCGCAUGCAUACAAGCAGUGGGAGCACCUUCGUGGUGUGACUGCGUACCUUUUGUAUAAUGGGUCAGCGACUUAUAUUCAGUAGCGAGGUUAACCGUAUAGGGGAGCCGUAGAGAAAUCCGAGUCUUAAUAGGGCGUUUAGUUGCUGGGUAUAGACCCGAAACCAGGCGAUCUAUCCAUGAGCAGGUUGAAGGUUGGGUAACACUAACUGGAGGACCGAACCCACUGUCGUUGAAAAGCCAGGGGAUGACUUGUGGAUAGGGGUGAAAGGCUAAUCAAGCCUGGUGAUAGCUGGUUCUCCCCGAAAGCUAUUUAGGUAGCGCCUCGGACGAAUACCAUAGGGGGUAGAGCACUGUUUCGGCUAGGGGGUCAUCCCGACUUACCAAACCGAUGCAAACUCCGAAUACCUAUGAGUACUAUCCGGGAGACAGACUGCGGGUGCUAACGUCCGUAGUCAAGAGGAAAACAAUCCAGACCGCCAGCUAAGGCCCCAAAAUCAUAGUUAAGUGGGAAACGAUGUGGGAAGGCAUAGACAGCUAGGAGGUUGGCUUAGAAGCAGCCACCCUUUAAAGAAAGCGUAAUAGCUCACUAGUCGAGUCGGCCUGCGCGGAAGAUGUAACGGGGCUAAAACUAUGUGCCGAAGCUGCGGAUGUAUACUUUGUAUACGUGGUAGGGGAGCGUUCUGUAAGCCGAUGAAGGUGUGUUGAGAAGCAUGCUGGAGGUAUCAGAAGUGCGAAUGCUGACGUGAGUAACGACAAAACGGGUGAAAAACCCGUUCGCCGAAAGACCAAAGGGUUCCAGUCCAACGUUAAUCGGGGCUGGGUGAGUCGACCCCUAAGGCGAGGCCGAAAGGCGUAGUCGAUGGGAAAAUGGUUAAUAUUCCAUUACUUCUGUGUAAUGCGAUGAGAGGACGGAGAAGGCUAAAUCAGCCUGGCGUUGGUUGUCCAGGUGAAAGGAUGUAGGCAUGUAUCUUAGGCAAAUCCGGGGUACUCUAUGCUGAGAUCUGAUAGCAAGCUGUACUUGUACAGCGAAGUGGUUGAUGCCAUGCUUCCAGGAAAAGUCUCUAAGCUUCAGUUACACAGGAAUCGUACCCGAAACCGACACAGGUGGUCAGGUCGGAGUAGACCAAGGCGCUUGAGAGAACUCUGCUGAAGGAACUAGGCAAAAUGGUACCGUAACUUCGGGAGAAGGUACGCUGUUGUUGGUGAUGGAACUCGCUUCCUGAGCUGACGACAGCCGCAGAAACCAGGCCGCUGCAACUGUUUAUUAAAAAACAUAGCACUCUGCAAACACGAAAGUGGACGUAUAGGGUGUGAUGCCUGCCCGGUGCUGGAAGGUUAAUUGAUGGGGUUAGCGUAAGCGAAGCUCUUGAUCGAAGCCCCAGUAAACGGCGGCCGUAACUAUAACGGUCCUAAGGUAGCGAAAUUCCUUGUCGGGUAAGUUCCGACCUGCACGAAUGGCAUAAUGAUGGCGGCGCUGUCUCCAGCAGAGGCUCAGUGAAAUCGAAAUCGCUGUGAAGAUGCAGUGUACCCGCGGCUAGACGGAAAGACCCCGUGAACCUUUACUGCAGCUUGACACUGAACUUUGACCUUACUUGUGUAGGAUAGGUGGGAGGCUUUGAAGCUGGAACGCUAGUUCCAGUGGAGCCGUCCUUGAAAUACCACCCUGGUAAUGUUGAGGUUCUAACUCUGUCCCGUGAUCCGGGACGAGGACCGUGUCUGGUGGGUAGUUUGACUGGGGCGGUCUCCUCCUAAAGAGUAACGGAGGAGUACGAAGAAGGUGCGCUCAGCGUGGUCGGAAAUCACGCGUAGAGUAUAAAGGCAAAAGCGCGCUUAACUGCGAGACCCACAAGUCGAGCAGGUACGAAAGUAGGUCUUAGUGAUCCGGUGGUUCUGUAUGGAAGGGCCAUCGCUCAACGGAUAAAAGGUACUCUGGGGAUAACAGGCUGAUACCGCCCAAGAGUUCAUAUCGACGGCGGUGUUUGGCACCUCGAUGUCGGCUCAUCUCAUCCUGGGGCUGAAGCAGGUCCCAAGGGUAUGGCUGUUCGCCAUUUAAAGAGGUACGCGAGCUGGGUUUAGAACGUCGUGAGACAGUUCGGUCCCUAUCUACCGUGGGCGCUGGAAAUUUGAGAGGAUCUGCUCCUAGUACGAGAGGACCAGAGUGGACGAACCUCUGGUGUACCGGUUGUGACGCCAGUCGCAUCGCCGGGUAGCUAUGUUCGGAAGGGAUAACCGCUGAAAGCAUCUAAGCGGGAAGCCUACCUCAAGAUAAGAUUUCCCUAGGACUUUAUGUCCUCUAAAGAGCCGUUCGAGACUAGGACGUUGAUAGGUUGGAUGUGGAAGCAUAGUGAUAUGUGAAGCUGACCAAUACUAAUUGCUCGUGAGGCUUGACUAUACAACACCCAAGCAGUUG